CUCAGACAGACUGAAGGAAUCAUACCCUAAAAGUAUAUUUUCUCUCUCCCAGAUUUAGGUACUUUAAAUAGUGGAGAAGGAUCUUCUCAUUUUCUGCUUCCCUAAGAGCACUGCUAGUGUUUGACAGAUUUCUCAUCUCUCCAACCAGGAAUGAAGACUAGUAAAGUGGCUGAAAUUCCUGUUGUUACAAGAAUGAAGUCUAUAGAGUUUAUUAACCUCCAUCCAUUCUAUGAACCUGGACUACCAUACACAGAGAAGGUGAGCAUGGGCCACAGAAAAAGGAGAAUACAGUGAGGGAAGAUUGAGGAAUGGGACCAGACCAAGCCUGGAAGCACCUGUCUUCUGCUCCUCCUAACUUCUGAUAGUACACGUGAAAAUUGUUGUUGCCAGCCUGGUAAUACACCCACAUUCCCACUAUCUGUGUUCCUGCAGCUAACAUGGAAUUCAUGCCCAAGCAAUAGGAUCUCCUAUUGCCAUCCAUUCCCCAUA
rnacentral:lncRNA from 1 species